rnacentral:rRNA from 1 species
UACGUAGGGUGCGAGCGUUAAUCGGACUUACUGGGCGUAAAGCGUGCGUAGGCGGUUCGUUAAGUUCGUUGUGAAAGCCCCGGGCUCAACCUGGGAACUGCAAUGGAAACUGGCGGGCUUGAGUGUGGCAGAGGGGGGUGGAAUUCCGCGUGUAGCAGUGAAAUGCGUAGAGAUGCGGAGGAACACCGAUGGCGAAGGCAGCCCCCUGGGCCAACACUGACGCUCAGGCACGAAAGCGUGGGGAGCAAACAGG